GUAACCAUGGAGAUAGCUGGGGGAUUCUUCUUCCAGCGCACCUGGGGGAUCACCUCUAAAUCAUCAAAUUGGCCAGAAGAGCACAUAUUUUAUCUAGAUGCAUACAGUAUUUGCGGGGAGAAGGGGGCCGGGGAGUAACAGCUAUUUUGAUUCUCGACUAAUUUUUCUCCAUCAAGAGCCUCUGAGUCUUCUGAAAAUCAGUGGAGCCAAGUAUAAUGGCAUUUUGCAACGGAACCAAACAUAAGAUGCCCCACCACGUCAUUUUUUUCUUCUUCUGCAAGGAGAUAGCUUUAAUGCUAUUAAGGAAUACACAGGAAUUCAAGCAGAUCAAUAGCUUCUUUAAAGGUACUACUUCUUUUGACUCUUCGAAGUUAAAACUGUGAUGACUGGGCCUUUCUAAAUUGUCAUGUUUCUUCCAUGUUAGUUUCUUUCUCAGCGACUAUUUGUGUCUUUUCAGCUAGAAUAAACUGCAGAUUCUCUUCUUCCAUGGAAAUGGCGAUUCUGCUAAGUUCCAAAAGUAAUGGUGUUCACAGAAGACAUCUACCAAGGAAAUUUGGCACUCUCCACAGCAGGGAAAAAAAAUCCAACUCAGAGAAUUGAUCUUUUCUGCUUUUCA